GGGGGGGGGGGGGGGGGGGGGUGGGGGGGGGGGGGCGGGGGGGGGGGGGGGGCGUGGGGGGGGGGCUGGGGUGGCGAACGGGGGAGUAGGACGUGAGUAACCUGCCCUUUACUUUGGGAGAACUUCAGGACACUGGGGCUACUACCGGAUAGGAGCUCCUGCUGCAUGGUGGGGGUUGGAAAGUUUCGGCGGGUGGGGAUGGACUCGCGGCUUAUCCGCUUUGUGGUGGGGUAGUGGCUUACCAAGGCUUUGACGGGUAGCCGGCCGGAGAGGGUGACCGGCCACAUUGGGACUGAGAUACGGCCCAGACUCCUACGGGAGGCAGCAGUGGGGAAUAUUGCACAAUGGGCGGAAGCCUGAUGCAGCAACGCCGCGUGCGGGAUGACGGCCUUCGGGUUGUAAACCGCUUUCGCCUGUGACGAAGCGUGAGUGACGGUAAUGGGUAAAGAAGCACCGGCUAACUACGUG
rnacentral:rRNA from 1 species